rnacentral:rRNA from 1 species
GAGUACUGCGUGACCAACCUGCCCCAUGCUCCAGAAUAGCUCUUGGAAACGGGUGGUAAUGCUGGAUGCUCCAACUUGACGCAUGUCUUGUUGGGAAAGUGUUUAGUGGCAUGGGAUGGGGUCGCGUCCUAUCAGCUUGUAGGCGGGGUAAUGGCCCACCUAGGCUUCGACGGGUAGCCGGCCUGAGAGGGCGGACGGCCACAUUGGGACUGAGAUACGGCCCAGACUCCUACGGGAGGCAGCAGCU